rnacentral:rRNA from 1 species
UACGUAGGGGGCAAGCGUUGUCCGGAUUAUUGGGCGUAAAGAGCGUGUAGGCGGCCAAGCAGGUCCGCUGUGAAAACUCGAGGCUCAACCUCGAGACGUCGGUGGAAACCGUUUGGCUAGAGUCCGGAAGAGGAGAGUGGAAUUCCCGGUGUAGCGGUGAAAUGCGCAGAUAUCGGGAAGAACACCCGUGGCGAAGGCGGCUCUCUGGGACGGUA